UACAGAGGAGCCAAGCGUUGUCCGGAUUGACUGGGCGUAAAGCGCGCGCAGGCGGUCGUUCAAGUCGCGUGUGAAAGCCCCCGGCUCAACUGGGGAGGGUCACGCGAUACUGAUCGACUCGAAGGCAGGAGAGGGUAGUGGAAUUCCCGGUGUAGUGGUGAAAUGCGUAGAUAUCAGGAAGAACACCCGUGGCGAAGGCGGCUCUCUGGGACGGUACUGACGCUGAGACGCGAAAGCGUGGGGAGCGAACAGG
rnacentral:rRNA from 1 species